UACGUAGGGGGCUAGCGUUGCUCGGAAUCACUGGGCGUAAAGCGCACGUAGGCGGAUCUUUAAGUCAGGGGUGAAAUCCUGGAGCUCAACUCCAGAACUGCCUUUGAUACUGGAGAUCUCGAGUCCGGAAGAGGUGAGUGGAACUCCCGGUGUAGCGGUGAAAUGCGCAGAUAUCGGGAGGAACACCAAUUGCGAAGGCAGCCCGCUGGGACGGUACUGACGCUGAGGCGCGAAAGCGUGGGGAGCAAACAGG
rnacentral:rRNA from 1 species